rnacentral:lncRNA from 10 species
UAGUUUUAUUAAUUCUCGCUGGCCCCCAUCUGUGCUUUCGACUGGAUUCAGAACUCAGUUUAUCUUCCAGGCUCCCUGUCUUUGGGUCUUGAUCACCACAGAGGGGAAGGGGAGAAUCCAGAGAUAAAAUGUGAGACUGAAACUGUUUUAAAGAAGCAUACAAGAAAGAAGCACACACUUUAUUAGGGAGAUGUUGAUGAGAUGCUUACAACCCGCCCGCCACCCCCCAGCCCCAG